rnacentral:rRNA from 1 species
CCUACGGGUGGCAGCAGUAGGGAAUUUUCGUCAAUGGGCGCAAGCCUGAACGAGCGAUGCCGCGUGAGUGAAGAAGGCCUUCGGGUCGUAAAGCCCUGUUGCGCGGGAAAAAAGGCAGCAUCAGGAAAUGGGUGCUGACUGAUGGUGCCCCGCCAGCAAGUCACGGCUACCUACGUGCCAGCAGCCGCGGUAAUACGUAGGUGGCGAGCGUUAUCCGGAAUGAUUGGGAGUAAAGGGUGCGCAGGCGGUCCUGCAAGUCUGGAGUGAAACGGAUGAGCUCAAAUCAUGCAUGGCUUUGGAAACUGGAGGACUGGAGAGCAGGAGAGGGCGGUGGAACUCCAUGUGUAGCGGUAAAAUGCGUAGAUAUAUGGAAGAACACCAGUGGCGAAGGCGGCAUACUGGACAGUAACUGACGUUGAGGCUCGAAAGCGUGGGGAGCAAACAGGAUUAGAUACCCGAGUAGUC